GGCAGUGUGGCUCAGUGGUAGAGCACUUGGCUGGCAUGCACAGUACUUGGGUUUGACCCCCAGCAUUGCCC
rnacentral:tRNA from 1 species